AGUGAACGCUGGCGGUAGGCCUAACACAUGCAAGUCGAACGGCAGCACAGUAAGAGCUUGCUCUUCCGGUGGCGAGGGGCGGACUGGUGAGGAAGACAUUGGCAUCUACUUUUUCGUGGGGGAUAACGGAGGGGAACUUUCGCUAAUACCGCCUACGGCCUACGGGGGAAAACCAGGGAUCCUCGGGCCUUGCGCGGAUCAAUGAGCCGAUGUCGGAUUAGCUAGUUGGCGGGGUAAAGGCCCACCAAGGCGACGAUCCGUAGCUGGUCUGAGAGGAUGAUCAGCCACACUGGAACUGAGACACGGUCCAGACUCCUACGGGAGGCAGCAGUGGGGAAUAUUGGACAAUGGGCGCAAGCCUGAUCCAGCCAUACCGCGUGGGUGAAGAAGGCCUUCGGGUUGUAAAGCCCUUUUGUUGGGAAAGAAAAGCAGCAGGUUAAUACCCCGCUGUUCUGACGGUACCCAAAGAAUAAGCACCGGCUAACUUCGUG
rnacentral:rRNA from 1 species